CCUCUCAACGAUUUUGAAAUCGUUUCAUAUCUCCUUGCGGGUUUGGGUCCUGAGUAUGACCCUUUUGUUACGUCUGUCACCACUCGCGUCGAUCCUCUCUCCAUUGACGAGCUCUAUGGUCAUCUCCUUGCACAUGAGA